AUGUUGCUCUCCAGCCUUCUGAAGAUGGUCCUGGUUUCCAUGUGGCUAGGAUGCAGUAUUGGCCAGAAGGUAACUCAAGGCCAACCAGCAAUGUUAGUGCAGGAGAAGGAGGCUGUGACCCUGGACUGCACAUAUGAAACCAGUUCCACAAGUUACAGCCUAUUCUGGUACAAGCAGCUCAGCAGUGGGGCGAUGAUUGUCCUUAUUCGUCAGGACUCCUAUAACCAGAAGAACGCCUCAGAAGGUCGCUAUUCACUGAACUUUCAGAAAGCAAACAGUUUCAUCAAUCUUGUCAUCUCAGCAUCACAGCAGGAGGAUUCUGCAGUGUAUUUCUGUGCUUUGAGUGAAACCACAGUGAGAGGUGUGUAUGAAGGAGGUGUUCCAAAACCCCAGGGACCUGCUUGUUGCAUCCACCUGCUGUAG